AUGGACCCUCUUCAAUUCUGCAUCCGUUGCGGCCGCCGCAGCUUCCACCUCCAGAAGAGCACCUGCUCCUCGUGCGGUUACCCUGCCACCCGCAUCCGCAAGUGUAAGCUCCCCUCACUCCGUCCUAGAUCUCUAGGUCUGUUGCUGUCAUGCGCCAUGUUCUUGAUGUUGCCCGACCUCAUGUGGAUGCCAUGA
rnacentral:rRNA from 1 species